CAGGCACCGAAGAAGGAGAAGGCCCCGGCGGCGUCGUCGAAGCCGGCCAAGUCGGGCGGCGGCAAGCAGAAGAAGAAGAAGUGGAGCAAGGGCAAGCAAAAGGAGAAGGUGAACAACGCGGUGCUCUUCGACCAGGCCACCUACGACAAGCUGCUCACCGAGGUGCCCAAGUACAAGCAGAUCACGCCCUCCGUCCUCUCCGAGCGCCUCAGGAUCAACGGCUCGCUCGCUCGCAGGGCCAUCAAGGACCUGAUGGAGAGGGGGCUCAUCAGGAUGGUGUCAAUCCACUCCAGCCAGCAGAUCUUCACCAGGGCCACAAACACCUGA
rnacentral:rRNA from 1 species